rnacentral:hammerhead_ribozyme from 1 species
AUCCAGCUGACGAGUCCCAAAUGGGACGAAAAUGAGAGUUCUGGAU